rnacentral:rRNA from 1 species
AGUGAACGCUGGCGGUAGGCCUAACACAUGCAAGUCGAACGGCAGCACAGUAAGAGCUUGCUCUUACGGGUGGCGAGUGGCGGACGGGUGAGGAAUACAUCGGAAUCUACUUUUUCGUGGGGGAUAACGUAGGGAAACUUACGCUAAUACCGCAUACGACCUACGGGUGGAAGCAGGGGAUCUUCGGACCUUGCGCGAUUGAAUGAGCCGAUGUCGGAUUAGCUAGUUGGUGGGGUAAAGGCCCACCAAGGCGACGAUCCGUAGCUGGUCUGAGAGGAUGAUCAGCCACACUGGAACUGAGACACGGUCCAGACUCCUACGGGAGGCAGCAGUGGGGAAUAUUGGACAAUGGGCGCAAGCCUGAUCCAGCCAUACCGCGUGGGUGAAGAAGGCCUUCGGGUUGUAAAGCCCUUUUGUUGGGAAAGAAAAGCAGCAGGUUAAUACCCCGCUGUUCUGACGGUACCCAAAGAAUAAGCACCGGCUAACUUCGUG